UACAGAGGGUGCGAGCGUUGUCCGGAAUCACUGGGCGUAAAGGGCGCGUAGGUGGCCUGAUAAGUAGGGGGUGAAAUCUCGAGGCUCAACUUCGAGGCUGCCUCCUAAACUGUCAGGCUUGAGCAGAGUAGAGGCAGGUGGAAUUCCCGGUGUAGCGGUGGAAUGCGUAGAGAUCGGGAAGAACAUCGGUGGCGAAGGCGGCCUGCUGGGCUCUUGCUGACACUGAGGCGCGACAGCCAGGGGAGCAAACGGG
rnacentral:rRNA from 1 species